rnacentral:rRNA from 1 species
UACGUAGGUGGCAAGCGUUGUCCGGAUUUACUGGGCGUAAAGCGUGUGUAGGCGGACCUUUAAGUAGAAAGUGAAAGGUGGGAGCUCAACUCCUACAUUGCUCUCUAUACUGGAGGUCUUGAGUGUCGGAGAGGAAGAUGGAACUGCACGUGUAGCGGUGAAAUGCGUUGAGAUGUGCAGGAACACCAAUGGCGAAGGCAAUCUUCUGGACGAAAACUGACGCUGAGACACGAAAAGCCAAGG